rnacentral:rRNA from 1 species
UGCCUCGAUGACCGGGACAACCCGAGGAAGCUCGGGCUAAUACCGGAUGUGCCCGCAAGGGGAAAGGAAGCUUCGGCCUCCGCAUCGAGAUGGGCCCGCGGCCCAUUAGCUUGUUGGUGAGGUAACGGCUCACCAAGGCUUCGAUGGGUAGCUGGUCUGAGAGGACGAUCAGCCACACUGGGACUGAGACACGGCCCAGACUCCUACGGGAGGCAGCAGUGGGGAAUCUUGCGCAAUGCGCGAAAGCG